rnacentral:siRNA from 1 species
CAUUGUCAGGUGGGGAGUU